CAGCCGCCACGGUAACACGUAGGGCGCAAGCGUUAUCCGGAAUUAUUGGGCGUAAAGAGCUCGUAGGCGGUUUGUCGCGUCUGCCGUGAAAGUCCGGGGCUCAACCCCGGAUCUGCGGUGGGUACGGGCAGACUAGAGUGAUGUAGGGGAGACUGGAAUUCCUGGUGUAGCGGUGAAAUGCGCAGAUAUCAGGAGGAACACCGAUGGCGAAGGCAGGUCUUUGGGCAUUAACUGACGCUGAGGAGCGAAAGCAUGGGGAGCGAACAGGAUUAGAUACCCCUGUAGUCCCUGUCUCUUAUAC
rnacentral:rRNA from 1 species